AAAUGUUUAUCCCUUAAUGAACUCUGUAUGAACUUACUUGUUCUGGAGUCCUGAGGAUACUUCAUGUAACAGGCUCCUGUGGAUAAUGCUGCAGUAAACAUGGAGCUCACCAGUCUCUUUAAGCUGAUGUCAUUUCCUUUGGCUGCACACCCAUACAGUGGCUGGAUUACAGGGUACCACCACCUUCACUUUUACAAGGGAACGCGCAUACUAUUUUGCAAUGGUCACACUAAGCCACAUUUCCACCAAAAGCAGAAGAUUUUGAAGAAACUUAACAAGGAGAAUAAGAAGGAAGGGAAAUGGUUGACCUCAUGUGGAUGAUCAAGCAAACUUACAGAUAAGCCUUCAAACGCCAAUUUCCAGCCUUUUGG